rnacentral:tRNA from 2 species
GCCGGUUUAGCUCAGUGGUAGAGCUCCCGAUUUGUAAUCGGAUGGUCGUCAGUUCGAAUCUGACAACCGGCU